CCUACGGGAGGCAGCAGUGAGGAAUAUUGGUCAAUGGCCGGAAGGCUGAACCAGCCAUGCCGCGUGAAGGUCAGUGCCCUAUGGGCGUUAAACUUCUUUUGUGCGGGAGCAAUAAUGGUCACGUGUGGCCAGACGAGAGUACCGUACGAAUAAGCAUCGGCUAACUCCGUUCCAGGCGCCGCGGUAAUACGGGGGGGGCAAGCGGUAUCCGGAUUUAGUCGGUUUAAAGGGUGCGUAAGCUGUGAGGUAAGUCAUCGGUGAAAUGCCCCCGCUCAACGGGGUGAAGUGCGAUUGAUACUGGCUUGCUGGAGUGCGGAUGACGUAGGAGGAAUGUGUGGUGUAGCGGUGAAAUGCAUAGAUAUCACACAGAACACCGAUUGCGAAGGCAGCUCACG
rnacentral:rRNA from 1 species